rnacentral:rRNA from 1 species
AAUCAACGCUGGCGGCGUGCCUAACACAUGCAAGUCGAACGCGAAAGUGGAGCAAUCCAUGAGUAGAGUGGCGGACGGGUGAGUAACGCGUGGGAAUCUACCCUAGAGCGGGGGACAACCCGGGGAAACCCGGGCUAAUACCGCAUACGUCCUACGGGAGAAAGAGGGCCUCUGCUUGCACGCUCUCACUCCAGGAUGAGCCCAGUCCGAUUAGCUAGUUGGUAGGGUAAAGGCCUACCAAGGCCACGAUCGGUAGCUGGUCUGAGAGGAUAAUCAGCCACACUGGGACUGAGACACGGCCCAGACUCCUACGGGAGGCAGCAGUGGGGAAUAUUGGACGAAUGGGCGCAAGCCUGAUCCAGCAAUGCCGCGUGUGUGAAGAAGGCCUCGG